GACGAACGCUGGCGGCGUGCUUAACACAUGCAAGUCGAACGGAAAGGCCCUGCUUUUGUGGGGUGCUCGAGUGGCGAACGGGUGAGUAACACGUGAGUAACCUGCGCUUGACUUUGGGAUAACUUCAGGAAACUGGGGCUAAUACCGGAUAUGAGCUCCUUCUGCAUGGUGGGGGUGGGAAAGUUUCGGCGGUUGGGGAUGGACUCGCGGCUUAUCCGCUUGUUGGUGGGGUAGUGGCGUACCAAGGCAUUGACGGGUAGCCGGCCUGAGAGGGUGACCGGCCCCAUUGGGACUGAGAUACCGCCCAGACUCCUACGGGAGGCAGCAGCGGGGAAUAUUGCACAAUGGGCGGCAGCCGUAUGCAGCAACGCCGCGUCGGGGAUCACGGCCUUCGGGUUGUAACCCGCUUUCGCCUGUGACGCAGCGCGAGUGACGGUAACGGCUCAAGAAGCACCGGCUAACUACGUG
rnacentral:rRNA from 1 species